AUGCAACAGAGCAUGCUCU
rnacentral:snRNA from 1 species